UUCGGUAUGUACUGGCUUUAAUGAUUCCUCCUUCUUGACGAACCGUGAUGUCAUUAAUUUGGAGUUGCGGAAAAUCAGGACUGUUACUUUGAAAAAAUUAGAGUGUUUAAAGCAGGCUAACGCUUGAAUACAUUAGCAUGGAAUAAUGAAAUAGGACGUUAAUCCUAUUUUGUUGGUUUCUAGGAUCGACGUAAUGAUUAAUAGGGAUAGUUGGGGGCAUUAGUAUUCAAUUGUCAGAGGUGAAAUUCUUGGAUUUAUUGAAGACUAACUACUGCGAAAGCAUUUGCCAAGGAUGUUUUCAUUAAUCAAGAACGAAAGUUAGGGGAUCGAAGACGAUCAGAUACCGUCGUAGUCUUAACCAUAAACUAUGCCGACUAGGGAUCGGAUGAUGUUAUUUUUAAUGACUCA
rnacentral:rRNA from 1 species